rnacentral:rRNA from 1 species
GACAGAGGAUGCAAGCGUUGUCCGGAAUCACUGGGCGUAAAGGGCGCGUAGGCGGCUCAUGAAGGCUGUGGUGAAAGUCCGGGGCUCAACCUCGGAUCGGCCGUGGCGACUCGUGGGCUGGAGCACUGUAGAGGCGGGUGGAAUUCCGGUGUAGCGGUGAAAUGCGUAGAGAUCGGAAGGAACGUCAAUGGCGAAGGCAGCCACCUGGCAUAAUACUGACGCUGAGGCGCGAAAGCGUGGGUAGCGAACAGG